CCCUUAGAUGUUCUGGGCUGCACGCGCGCUACACUGACACACUCAGCGAGUUCCUGUACCGAGAGGUUCGGGUAAUCAUGUGAGCGUGUGUCGUGAUGGGGAUAGAAUAUUGUAAUUAUUGCUCUUCAACGAGGAAUUCCUAGUAAGCGCAAGUCAGCAGCUUGCGCUGAUUACGUCCCUGCCCUUUGUACACACCGCCCGUCGCUCCUACCGAUUGGGUGAUCCGGUGAAUGACUCGGACUUUGACGUUCCUAGACACUAGGUUCGUCGAGGGAAGUUUUGUGAACCUUAUCACUUGGAGGAAGGAGAAGUCGUAACA
rnacentral:rRNA from 1 species